rnacentral:rRNA from 1 species
AGAGUUUGAUCAUGGCUCAGAACGAACGCUGGCGGCAGGCCUAACACAUGCAAGUCGAACGAUAAGCCACCUUCGGGUGGUGGACAGUGGCAGACGGGUGAGUAACGCGUGGGAACGUGCCUUUCGGUUCGGGAUAACCCAGGGAAACUUGGGCUAAUACCGGAUACGCCCUUCGGGGGAAAGAUUCAUUGCCGAAAGAUCGGCCCGCGUCGGAUUAGCUAGUUGGUGGGGUAAUGGCCUACCAAGGCGACGAUCCGUAGCUGGUCUGAGAGGAUGACCAGCCACACUGGGACUGAGACACGGCCCAGGCUCCUACGGGAGGCAGCAGUGGGGAAUAUUGGACAAUGGGCGAAAGCCUGAUCCAGCCAUGCCGCGUGGGUGAAGAAGGCCCUAGGGUUGUAAACCCCUUUCAGCGGGGAAGAUAAUGACGGUACCCGCAGAAGAAGCCCCGGCUAACUCCGUGCCAGCAGCCGCGGUAAUACGGAGGGGGCUAGCGUUGUUCGGAAUUACUGGGCGUAAAGCGCACGUAGGCGGACUUGUAAGUCAGGGGUGAAAUCCCGAGGCUCAACUUCGGAACUGCCUUUGAUACUGCAAGUCUCGAGUCCGGAAGAGGUGAGUGGAAUUCCUAGUGUAGAGGUGAAAUUCGUAGAUAUUAGGAAGAACACCAGUGGCGAAGGCGGCUCACUGGUCCGGUACUGACGCUGAGGUGCGAAAGCGCGGGGAGCAAACAGGAUUAGAUACCCUAGUAGUCC